rfam:Syntrophobacter fumaroxidans MPOB, complete genome.
GUCAGAAAACGCCAACCCUGUUGCGAGACGGGGACGGAAAGCCGCGGGUCUCAUGGAGAUGGCCGGGUUGCCUGA